ensembl:lncRNA
CAGAGGCCAGAGAGCAGAGUCUGUGUGGAAAGCUGCUGAUGGACUCUGGGUUCGAUGGCCUAACACGAGCUGGUGCCACACUCCGGGAGGUGACAAGGAGCUAAUUACAUGGAGGAAAGAGAGCCAGCAGAAGAGGUCAUUGCAAAGGGUAGAUUUCUUCCUGAUUAACUGCGCGGGGAGACACAACCGGAAGGAACAGUACAGGGCAGUGUUUGUGCCAUCGGAGAUAAGCACCACGUAUCUGGCGAGGCGGGGCUGAGCCAGCAACAUAUAGACGUCCCCCAGCUAGGAGUCAAAUUGGAGCUGGAGCUACCCGCCUACACCACAGCCACGGCAACACCAGAUCCAAGCGGCAUCUUUCACCUACACCACAGCUUGUGGCAACGCCAGAUCCUUAACCCACUGAGGGAGGCCAGGGAUUGAACCCACAUCUUCAUGGAUACUAGUUGGGCUCUUUACUCAGUAAGUCAGAACAGGAACUCCAGUAUACACUUUUAGCAGUGUAGCUGGGUCCUUCCUCAAGAGGUACCCCUCCUUUUACUGUGAUCUUGGCAGAGUUAGAACAAGGACUACCUGGCACCAAUGAUGUGCUCAACAAGGCUGGUUCCUUUUUUCUUGGCUGGGAGGUACGGGAGGGGAUUAAUCACUGGGGAAGGUGGUACGGGCUGGGAAUGCUACAAUGAGAUAGAACUGACUUGGAGUCUUGGCUUUGCCACUUCUUAGUGACUGAAGAGGGUUGACUUGUGUCCUCCCCCAAAAGAUAUGUCUAAGUCCUAACUAACUCCUGAUACAUGGGAAUGUGACCUUAUUCGGAAAUAAGGUCUUCGCAGAAGUCAUGAAAUUAAGGACCUAGAGAUGAGGUCAUCCUGGCCUUCAAGUGGCAAAUCCAAUGGCUGGUGUCCUUCUAAGAGAAAGGAGAGAGAGAUCUAACCUACACGGAGGCACAUGGAGGGGAAGGCCUUGGGGGGAGGGAGGUGGGCAUUGGGGUGCUGCAUCUGCAAACUGAGCAAGGCCAAGGUCGGCUGCUGCCAACGGGAGGGGGGCGGGGGAGGAGUCUUUCCUGGAUGCUCCCAAAGCAGCCACCCCCCCGCCCCCCGAAUUUUUCACUCCUGGCUUCAAAUACCGUGAGAGGAUGCAUUUCUGUUGUUUCAGACCGAGUCGGGGGCAAUUUUUUAAUGGAGCCCAAGGAAACUAAUAGAGCAAACUUGUACCAUUUUCUGAAUUUAUCUAGUCCAAUGUGCUCAUCUGUGAGAUGGUAACACCCACUUCCUGAGAGGAUGUUUCUUUUAGAAAAAUUUAAAUGCUUCCUCAAGAUACUGCCUUCAGGGAUUCUGGGGUAUGGUUUUGUGUUUUAUCCACAUGGUGACCAUGAACUCAAUGGAGAAUGAAUUUCAGAGAGAGAUUCUAUGAAAUCUUGCAUGAUUUCGGUGCAAAAGGUUAAGAAAAGAGGAGUGUGAAUUAGUAGAACAAGCGAGCUGCCUGAGCAUUCCUGUAUGAGAUACGUGUCUCCCACCUAAGUCAGCCAUUGCGGAAUGACUUCGUUCCCUCCUGGAAAGCUGAGUCCCAGGGGCUGGGGUGGGGUGGGGGGUCCCACAGUGGGCGGCUGUGUCAAGCUGCCCUCACCUCGGAUAAACACAAGCACCGUUGCUCUCCUCUGGGUCCUUUGUGUUGAUGCUGUGCUUUGACACGAAAUGCCAGACUGCAUGGAGGGUCUUUAACUGUAAACAGUACUUUCCAGUGGAGCAAGAAGAUCUGCUGCUGCAGGAGCCCAGAAUUUCCCUAACUUACCACCACGGUUCUGCCUGUCCCUCAUGACGGCAGGCGAGCAUGUCACUGCUUAACCUGCAAGUCUGCAAGAGCAGUUGCUGGUACAGGUGCAGGAGCCACCUGAUGCUGUGGCCCCAGAUCACUUGUCCUUGUCACUAGGAGGAUGCCUAUUAAAGAAGCCCUGGACUCUCCAGGAUAAUCAAAUCUUAUGCUUAUCGGAAAGGAGGUGGGGUAGAAACUUAAUUUAUUAGAAACUAUUCUGUGCCAGGAACAAUGUUAGUUGCAUUUACAUACAUUUUCUCAUUUAAUCCUCAUUUGAUUAACUUGGAAAGAUCCCAGCUCAAACUGGAUCUGAGGGACGUGGCCUCAAGAUGCGCUGACCAGGAACACAGCCUUCACCGGCUGUGGGGAGGAGGACUCUCUGCCCUAAGAUGCCUUUUAUUCAGAAAUCAGAGUUUUGCCUCAACAGAAUCAUUCAUUCAUUUCCACUUACUCACUCAGCAGGUAUUUACUAAGUUCUUUCUGCGUGUCAGCUUUCAGGGACCCAACAGCCAGAAAUCUCCAUUCUGAGGGGCUUAUAUUCUAGCCUGGGGAGAAGACACACUAGAUUGGGAAACUGUAUGAUUUGUGCAAGGGUGCUGUGCAAGAUGGAAAAAAUAGAGCAGGAUACUGAGGUGGGGGAGUAUAGGGAUUGGUAGAUUACAAUUUUUUUUUUGUUUUUUGUUUUUGUUUUUUUGUCUUUUUGCCUUUUCUAGGGCUGCUCCCACAGCAUAUGGAGGUUCCCAGGCUAGGGGUGGAAUCGGAGCUGUAGGGGCCAGCCUACACCACAGCCGCAGCAACACGGAUCUGAGCCGAGUCUGUGACCUACACCACAGCUCACGGCAAUGCCGGACCCUUAACCCACUGAGCGAGGCCAGGGAUCGAACCCGCAACCUCAUGGUUCCUAGUCGGAUUUGUUAACCACUGGGCCACGACGGGAACUUCUGGUAGAUUACAAUUUUGACUGGUGGCCAAGGUGCGCCUCACUGAGAAAAUGACACUUUUGAAAAGACUUGAGGCGGGUGAGGGAGGAGCCUUUCAAUGCAGAGGCAGAGCACGUCGGCUUGGCCAAGAAAUAGCAAGAGGCCCUGCAGACAGUGUGGACGAGGGGAGAGGUGGAGGCCAGAAGAGGAGAUGGCGCAGGACCUUGUCAGCAGCCGUGAGGACUCUGACGGGGAGGGCCCUGGGGGGUUCUGACUGGGGGAGGGAAAUGAUGGAAUCACGCUGAACAGGCUCACUCUCGGGUCUAUGCUGAUGCGGAUUAUAGAGGGCAGCAGUCAUUUCUUCGGGCUGCCACAGCAGAGUGCCACAACCUGGGUGCUUUAAAACAAUAGAAGUCUUUUCUCUCACGGUUCUGGAGCCUAGAAGUCUGAAAUCAAAGUGUCAGUAGGGCCAUGCUCCCUCUGAAGGCGCUAGGAAAGAAUCCUUCUUGGCCUCUUCUAGCUCUGCUGGUUCCUGGCAUUCCUUGAUGUUCCUUGGCUUGUGGUAGCAAAAUUCCAGUCUCUGCCCCUGUGUCCACUUGGCCUUCUUCCCUGAAUCUCUGGGUCUCUAGAUCUCCCUCUGCUUAUUAAGGACAGCAGCCAUCGGAUGCAGGCAUCGGAACUGACCUCAUCGUAACUUGAUCACAGCUGCAAAAUCCCUCUUUCCACAUAAUGUCAUCUUCACAGGUACUGGAUGUUAGGACGUCAACCUAUCUUAACAGGAUUCCAAGCCUCAUCAAGGGUCAAGGCUGGAAACAGGGAGUCCAGCUGAGAAGGAAUGGCAGCAAUCAGGUGAGAGAGAUUAGUGGCUUGGAUCUGAGGUGCAAUAGAAGAGUAGCGAGAAGUGGCCCAACCCUGGAUAUUUAAAAAAAAUCAGAGUCCAAAGUAUUUUCUGACAUGUUGGAAAUCAAAAAGAGAGGCAUCAAAGAUAUCUCAGGGUGUUUCACCUGAGCACUUGGAAGGCUGUCAUUAAUUGACAUGGGGAGGCUGUGGGAAGAGCAGGUUUGGGAUGUGAAGGUUAGAUGUUUGACUUUGAACAUGUUUAAUUUAAGAUGUCUCUCAGACAUCUCACUGAAGAUGUUGAGUAGAAAAUUGAAUAUAGAAAUCUGGGGUAAGGGGAAAGAAGCUGAGAAAGAAAAUAUAUAUUCUGUACACCUAAGUCACAUGACAUUGUAAAUCAAAUAUACUUCAAUUAAACAAACAAAAACAAAACAAGAAAGCUAUCUAAAUUUCAAAAACGUAAAGAGAGGAAAUCCAGGGUAGUUUAGAGAGAGGUCUGAGCUAGAAACGUAAUUGAGAGCCAUGGGCACAGACAGUCAGUUCCCUGUCUUGGCCAUUGUGUGGGCACUAUAGCAGAAAAACAGGGGCUUGAACACUACAACUGGAUAUGUGGAAGUCAUUCUGAUGUCAAAGAGUAAAGUGUUUGCUAGGCUUCUUAUUAGCACAGUCCCCAAAGUCACUCACCCUAUCAUAGGAAGUGAAUCUGACAAGGAAACAAAGUCACUUAAGACAACAGGUAAAAUGAACUGAGCUCUUAUUAUCUGCCAGAUUUAUUCCAUAAACUUUUCCUUCUCUUUCUUUUUUUUCCUCCUGGUCAUACCCACAGCAGAUGCAAGUUCCUGGGCCAGGGACUGAAUCAGAGCCACUGAUGUGGCAACUCCAGAUCCUUUACUGUGCUGGGGGUCCAACCCACACCUCUGCAGUGAUCCGAGCUGCUGCAGAGACAGUGCUGGAUCCUUGACUCGCUGUGCCACAUCAGGAAUUCCCAUAAGCUUUUUUAUUUAACACCUACAGUAACCUUCUGAGAUUGGUACUAUUUUUUAUCCCAACUUGCAGAGAAAAGGACCUAAUUUUAGCGUGGUGACUCACCCAGGGACAUCCAGUUUCCAUGUGGCACAGUGGAGACUUAAAGCCACGCCUGUCUGAGGGUAGGAAUGCAGAUAUUGGGCCUUGUGUUAUUUAACCUCACAAGCAUCUGUACUCAUUUCGCAGAACUGUCCCUAGGAAAGGACCUCCCACUUGGGGUACAUUUCUCAAACUACCUCCAAUUUCCUCUAGCUUUAUGUCAGGCCCAACAACUCUGCUUGUUAUUCUUUCUGUUGUUUGCUUGUUUGUUUGUUUUUUAAGGACCACACCUGCGGUAUAUGGAAGUUCCCAGGCUAGUAGUUGAAACAGACCCAUAGCCACAGCAACACCAGAUCCAAGCCGCAUCUGCAAACUACACUGCAGCUCGUGGCAACACUGGACCAGGGCUCGAACCCGCAUCCUCACGGAUACUAGUCAGAUUCUUAACCCACUGAGCCUCAACAGGAAUUCCGACUACUUGUUAUUCUUAACCAGCGAUGACCCUCAACCCCUCAUCUCUGACAAGAGGCAAGGAUUUCCUAUAGGUGGGUUUAAAGGUUUGUGUUCAGGAAGGAAGGCUUUCCAGCCUUCAGGCAGGUGACAUCAGGCCUGUCAGCCUCCAGCUGAAGCACAGGACUGUGCCUGGCCGCCGUACCUGUCUGUACCCUUGGGGCAGGGGUCAGAACUGCAGCUCCAUGUUCUUUGGAGCCAGGGCAAUUCAGCUGCAAGUGUCCACCAAGCAGCUCCUGGUCUCCUGCUCCGGACCCCCUAGUCAUGCUGGACACUGCCUUGGUCCUCUGGCAACACCAGGACCUCUAGAGGAGGACAUAGUCGAGUGUCUUAGUCUGACUUUGGUUAUUUUUUUCUUUUCUUUUUUAGGUCCGCACCUGCAGCAUAUGGAAAUUCCCAGGCUGGAGGUCAAAUCGGAGCUGCAGUUGCCGGCCUACACCACAGCCACUGCAACAUGGGAUCCGAGCUGCAUCUGUGACUUACCCCACAGCUUGUAGCAACACUGGAUCCUUAAGCCACUGAGUGAGGCCAGGGGUUGAAUCUGAAUCUGCAUGUAUACUAGUUGGGUUCUUAACCUGCUGAGCCACAAUGGGAACUCCCCUUAUUUAUUUAUUUGCUUUUUAGGGGGCCACUGGUUUAUCUUCACUCACCUCUCAGUAUUGGCUGAUCACUUAGUGCUGACAGCAGCCAGCUCCUCCUUACCCUCUGCUCUCACGCCCACCGGCUCUCUGUGCCCCUAGGCUUUUCAUUAUUUUAUUUACUUAUUUAUUUUUGCUUUUUAGGCAUAUGGAAGUUCCCAGGCUAGGGGUCAAAUUGGAGCUACACCUGCUGGCCUACGCCACAGCCAUAAGUGGGGAUCUAAGCCACGUCUGCAACCUACAUCACAGCUCACAGCAAUGCCAGAUCCCUGACCCACUGAGCAAGCCCACAGAUCGAACCCGCAUCCUCAUGGAUACUAGUCAGUUUCGUUUCCACUGCACCACGAUGGGAACUCCAGACACUACCUUUUUACAAGGAAGUUGAAGCAUAGAGAGACAUAACUUUCCCAAAGUCAUACAGCUAACGGGUGAGACUGAUGGAGCUUGAACCCAGGCCCUCUCCCUCCAGGACCCAGGCUGCCGAUCUGACUGGACUUCACCAUGUACACUCCAUCCCCCAUCCCACUUGGUGUUUUCUUUGUAACGAUAAGUACAAUGGCAAUUAUCACUGCAACCAGAGCCCUCACUACUUGUGCCUAUCACCCCAUCCCAAUUUAGAUAAGGAGGCCCAAGGCAAAUCAGAGCACAUUCCCACUGUUGCUGGAUAUAGUCCACCCCUCCUUCCCUCCCUCCGCCCCCUCCCCCCUUCCUUGCUUCCAAAUAACAGACUUGGAACAAGAUGGCAGCCUCACAGAAGUGGGUCAUGGGGAUUGUGUCACACAGCAAACACAAGGUCAGCUUUGGCUUCUGCUCGCUGAACAACUACUCCUGGUCUGGGUGACUUAGCAGUGACAGACCCUGGUAAACACACUGUCAGAGGACACCCAGUGAUGAUUUUCUAACUUCAUUCCUUUGCAAUUUCUUAGGAAAAGUUGGCUAGAAGGGUCCUUGGCUAGAAGUUGACUUCACUCCUGUGGAAUUUCUUAGGAAAGUUGGCUAGAACGACCCAUCACAGUGUCCAGAAGGGUCCUUGGCACUUCUGCGCUGGCUGGUCAACACAGGACGGAGGUGGCAAAAGGGAAGGGAUGUGAGGUACAUCCAGAUGGCUUAUGAUUCAAGACCGUUGUUUCAUCCAUUUUAGUUUCUAUAUAUAACCAAUUUAUACGGGAGUCUAAAAUCAUGUGUCUAAAACAUAAUAUAGUCUUAUUUUUCCUAGUAAUUUUGCCCAGCUGGCGUUUUCCCAACACCAGCUUCUGUGCACUUGGCUUUCCUAGGUGAGGAAGGGGCUCUAUGUGCUCCGCUGAAGCCAUGCAGGGUUCUUCAAGAUGAGAGGCAGUCAUAAUGUUCCCUUUCCUUUCUUCUGAAAUUCUGAGUGAGAGAAGCAGGUACCCUCAGUGGCUUCACACCUGUGUAGGUGUUAGAUGUGGUUUAGUGCAUCCUCUGCAGAGUAAUCCCUCCCUCUCUGCACCAGGGUCUCCCCAAGAGCAGCAGGGUGACCCUGGGGUGCAAGGUGUCAGUAGCUUCAUCUAUGGGUUGCCAUGGGGCCCAGGAGAGUGCCUCCCACUCAGUGUGUCUUCAGCUGCCUUUACAGACUAGCUACCAUGCAGCAGGUGUCAGCAACAUGAAGUGCAGCCAGAAGCAGCCAGAGCACACGGCUGAGAGGGUGGGGCUAAGAAGGGAAUCUGGCUUUUGUGGUUGAGAUUGGACUCGUGAUAAAUGACUAUCUCCGGUGCUUCUCCAGGAAGCUGACAAGUGGGGAGUUUCAUUUUAUUUUUUGUGGUAUCCAAAAGUGUCAUUUCCUACUAGCCAUGCUCGGUACUGCUAUGUUCAAUAGUGGGUCUUGACACAUGGUUUCUUUAUGGAUCUCAUUUUAUUUUUAUUUUAUUUUUGUCUUUUUAGAACCCCACCUGUGGCAUACAGAGGUUCUCAGGCUAGGAGUCGAAUUGGAACUACAGCUGCAGGCCUACACCACAACCACAGCAACGUUGGAUCCAAGCUGCAUCUGCGACCGACCCCACAGCUCACAGCAAUGCCAGAUCCUUAACCCACUGAGUGAGGCCAGGGAUCGAACCCACGUCCUCAUGGAUACUAGUCAGAUUCAUUAACUGCUGAGCCACAAGGGGAACUCCUGACACAUGGUUUUCAAAGGGACUACAGCUAUAGGUUCUUAAAUAAGGGCUAAGUGAGUUUUAAGAAUGACAAAUCACUUAUAAGCAUAUUCACGGUCCAGAAAGAAACACAGAGAAAAGUAUUAAUAUCUCUAUCCCAAUGAUAAUAAAUAUAACCCUCAUUUAGAGAUGCCCUUGCUUCCAUGGUGGAGGGUCUUCAGGGAGUGGUUGGGAUGCUGUACAUUCUACUUAAUUUGAGGCUACUGUCUGCACAUGGAGCCCACAGAGCUCAUCUCUUGAGAGCAUUUUAUUACCUUUAAAAAUUGAGACAUAAUUCACACACCAUAAAAUUCACCAUUUGAAAGUAGACAAUUCAGUUCUUGUAUAACUGAGUCACUUUGUUGUACAGGAGAAAUUAUCUCAACAUUGUAAAUCAACUAUACUUUAAUAAAACUUUAAAAAUGAAAAAAAAAAAAAAACAAACCCACCCAAUUUCAGAGUUCUUGCUGUGGCAAAAUGAGACUGGCGGCAUGUGGGCGGUAUCAGUACCAGGAUGCAGGUUCGAUCCCCAGCCCCGGUAGUGGUUGCAACUGUGCCUCUGUUUUGAUCCCUGGCCUGGGAACUCCACAUGCCAUGAGGCAGCCAAAAAAAAAAAAAAAAA